UGCCAGCCGCCGCGGUAAUACAGAGGGUGCGAGCGUUAAUCGUAAUUACUGGGCGUAAAGCGUGCGUAGGCGGUUAAUUAAGUCAGAUGUUAAAGCCCUGGGCUCAACCUGGGAAUUGCAUUUGAUACUGGUUAACUUGAGUAUGGGAGAGGGAAGUGGAAUUUCCGGUGUAGCGGUGAAAUGCGUAGAUAUCGGAAGGAACACCAGUGGCGAAGGCGACUUCAUGGACCAUUAAUGAAGCUGAGGCAAGAACUCGUGGGGCGCAAACAGUAUUAGAUC
rnacentral:rRNA from 1 species